ACCUUCCCCACUUUCCCCACUUUCAAAGGACAGAAGUAAUCCUGUGGCUUUAGGGGCC
rnacentral:tRNA from 1 species